rnacentral:tRNA from 1 species
GGAGAAGUACCCAAGUGGCCGAAGGGGCUCCCCUGCUAAGGGAGUAGGCGGUGAUAAGCCGCGCCAGGGUUCAAAUCCCUGCUUCUCCGCCA